UCACACAUGGGUUGUAAGCGCCCAGGUCCUUGGGCUGUCAUCUGUAGCCUUCCUAGGCACAUUAGCCAGGAGGUAGACUGGAAGCAGGACAGCUGCAACUUGAACUUGCCCUCAGAUGUGGGAUGCAGUCAUCGUAGCAAGUGGAGGCAGGUGGGCAUAACCUGCUCUGCCACAACGCAUCCCCUAAAUAAUUUCUAAAAAGCUCGGUGCCAGUGAUCUUCUUGCACACCAGUGUCACCCUUCUCCAAAUGUGGUCCUCGGACCAGAAGCACUGAUGUCACUGAAGUGCAGCUCCUCAGUGCCAUCUGAGACCCUUUACACUAAAAGUCAGCUUUGUCACCACAGCCGCAAGUGAUUCACGUGCAUGCUGAAUGAGCUACCACUGUCUUUUUUUUUUUUUUUUUUUUUGAAAGGCAUAGUGGACAGUGAGAGAGAGAGAGAGAGACAGAGAGAAAGGUCUUCCUUUUUCUGUUGGAUCACCCCCAAAGUGGCUGCUAUGGCCAGUGCGCUGCACUGCACCGAUCUGAAGCCAGGAGCCAGGUGCCUCCUCCUGGUCUCCCAUACGGGUGCAGGGCCCAAGGACCUGGGCCAUCCUCCACUGCACUCCCGGGCACAGCAGAGAGCUGGACUGGAAGAGGAGCAACCGGGACAGACUCUGGCACCCCAACCGGGACUAGAACCCGGGGUUUUGGUGCCGCAGGUGGAGGAUUAACCAAGUGAGCCAUGGCCCGGCCUCUUCUUUUUUUUUUUUUUUUUUUUUUCCUAUAUUGUUGUCUUUUCACUGCCAAGAGUAUCCUUCAGUAUGUAUGUAGUUGUGUUUGUGUAUCUACCCACUUGUGUGGGCAGUUUUAGUACCCUUGAAUUCCUGUGUCCAUACACAAAUCUCCAUUUUCUUAUCAUCAUCUCAAGGUUUCCCUGCUGUCUACUCCCAGUCUUUGAAACUUGUGAGAAGUUAAGGAAUUUUACUGAACAGAAAGUUUAGUGUCUCAAUCAAUCUGAUUUCAUAAUUGUCAUACCUUUUGUAUCCCUUAUAUCAUUGUUUAGGCUCAUCUCAUCAAUAUUAAAUUGAUACAUAAUAUAUAUUAUAUAUUUAAUAUUAUAUAUUAAAUCAUUAUAUAUAAAUAUUAUUUAUUAAAUUAUAUAUUUAAUAUUAUAUAUGCCUUCAUAUAUAUCUCACACACACUCACAGACUACUAAGCAAUAAAAUUAAUUUAUGGUCAGAAAUCUGUUCCACAUAAGCCAAGGACCCACAGAUAUUUUCUGUCAACAACCAGGUUACUAUCUUGUUAGGGGACAUACAGUCUCUGUUACAACUACUUAGUUUUGCAUUAACACCCACAGACAAUACAUAAAGGAAUUGACAUGGUGGUAUUGUAAUAAAGCUUUAUUUAUAUAAAUCCCCAGUUGGGUAAGACCCAUAGACUGUAGGGUUUAGAUACCUGAUCUACACACAUCACACAUCCCCAUUGGUAGGCAAUUACUCUUUGUGAAUCAAUGCCUUGAUAUAAAUAUGGUGGGUUUCUGUCAAGAUCUUUACAGUGUUGAGGGGUCGGCACUGUGGCUCAUUUGGUUAAUCCUCUGCCUGUGGUGCCAGCAUCUGAUAUGGGCACCAGUUUCUAGUUCCGGUUGCUCCUCUUCCAGUCCAUAUUUCCAUCAUUCAUUGAUAGAAAAAGCCCCUAGUAGUUACUUAAUUUAGUAGUUAUUCCUCAUACAUUCCUACACACAGUAAUUUACUGACAAUUCUUAAAAGAAUGAAAGAAUGAUACAUGAAUAAGAAAAGAUUAAUAAAGUAGAGAAUGUACAAAAUCAGAAUAAAGUAGUGUUGCAAUGUAUAUGCAGAAAUAGGACUUCUUGUUAAUAUACACGGCAAGCAUAACAGUAGAAAUGGACUAUGGGUGCUUGAAAAGCAAUGGAUUUUUAAAUUAUGUGUAUUAGAAUACAAACUGUGGGGCUGGCGCCACGGCUCACUAGGCUAAUCCUCCACCUUGCGGUGCCGGCACACCAGGUUCUAGUCCCGGUCGGGGCGCCAGAUUCUGUCCCGGUUGCCCCUCUUCCAGGCCAGCUCUCUGCUGUGGCCAGGGAGUGCAGUGGAGGAUGGCCCAAGUGCUUGGGCCCUGCACCCCAUGGGAGACCAGGAUAAGUACCUGGCUCCUGGCUUCGGAUCAGUGCGGUGUGCCGGCUGCAGCACACUGGCCGCGGCGGCCAUUGGAGGGUGAACCAACGGCAAAGGAAGACCUUUCUCUCUGUCUCUCUCUCACUGUCCACUCUGCCUGUCAAAAAAAAAAAGAAUACAAACUGUAUGUAGCAUAUAAUACACUUCCAGAAGAAUUAUUAAAUAAUAACUAAAUAAGGGUCUCUCAUUAAUACUUUGAUAUGAUUUGUACAAUUUCUAUUUUACAUAUAUUGGAAACAUUUAAAAAUAGUUUAUUUUUGCUUUAAUUCAUUUUUUAAUGAAUAUGCAAAUUUAUUGAAAAGGUAGUCAUCAGAAUAAGUCAUUUUAAUGGCAAAGUGUAGGGCUGAAAAUAUCUGCUAUUUUUCUACACUUUGUAUUUAAGCUUUCUUUUUUUUAACUUUUAUUUAAUGAAUAUAAAUUUCCAAAGUACAGCUUAUGGAUUACAAUGGCUUCCCCCCCCCAUAACGUCCCUCCCACCCGCAACCCUCCCCUUUCCCUCUCCCUCCCCCCUUCCAUUCACAUCAAGAUUCAUUUUCAAUUCUCUUUAUAUAUGGAAGAUCAGUUUAGCAUAUAUUAAGUAAAGAUUUCAACAGUUUGAACCCACACAGAAACACAAAGUGAAAAAUACUGUUUGAGUACUUAGCGUUUUCAUCAUGAAAGGGUAUUGUAUUUUUUCAAAUGCUUUCUCUGCAUCUAUUGUGAUAAUUAUAUGGUUUUUGUUCUUCAACUUGUUAAUGUGAUGCAUCACAUUGAUUGAUUUGCAAAUGCUGAACCAUCCCUGCAUACCAGGCAUAAAUUCCACUUGGUCCAGGUGAAUGAUCUUUCUGAUGUGUUGUUGGAUUUGGUUAGCCAGAAUUUUGUUGAGGAUUUUUAUGUCUAUGUUCAUCAGGAAAAUUGGUCUGUAGUUCUCUUUCUCUGUUGCAUCUUUUCUAGGUUCGGGGAUUAAGGUGAUGCUGGCUUCAAGAAUUUAGGUGGAUUCCCUCCCAUUCAAUUAUUUUCAAUCCUUGAGUAGGAUUGGAGUUAGUUCUUUAAAUGUCUGGUAGAAUUCAGCAGUGAAGCUAUAUGGUCCUUGGCUUUUCUUUGUUAGGAUUUUUUGGAAAAACUUUUAUUUAAUAAAUAUAUGUUUUGAAAGUACAACUUUUGGAUUACAGCGGUUUUUUCCCCCAUAGCCACCCUCCCACCCACAAACCAUCCCAUCUCCUACUCCCUCCCCCAUCCCAUUCUUAAGAUUCAUUUUUAAUUAUCUUUAUAUACAGAAGAUCAACUAUAUACUAGGUAAAAAUUUCAACAGUUUGCACCCACACAGACACACAAAGUAUAAAGUACUGUUUGAAGAAUCGUUUUUCCAUUAAUUCGCAUAGUACACCACAUUAUGCACAAGGCUCCUACAUGGGAGUAGGUGCACAGUGACUCCUGUUGUUGAUUUAACAACUGCCACUCUUAUUUAUGAUGGCAGUGAUCACUCAGGUCUCUUGUCAUGAGCUGCCAAGGCUGUGGAAGCCUCUUGAGUUCACAAACUCUGACCUUAUUUAGAUAAGGCCAUAAUCAAAGUGGAAGUUCUCUACUCCCUUCAGAGAAAGGUAACUCUUUGUUGGACCCUUCUUUGGGAGGGUCUUUAUUACUGAUUCAAUAUCUGUCUUUGAAUUGGGUCAGUUUAAAUUUUCUAUGUCUUCAUGGCUCAAUUUAGGUAGGUUGUAUGUGUCCAGUAAUUUAUCCAUUCUUUUAGGUUUCCCAGUUUUUUGGCAUAUCCCUCUUUGCAGUAGUUUCUGAUGAUUCUUCUUAUUUCUGUGGUGUCUAUAGUUACAUUUUCUUUUUUAUAUCUAAUUCUAUUGAUUUGGGUCUUCUCUUUCCUUUUUUGGUCAGUUGGGCCAAUGGUGUGUAAAUUUUGUUUAUUUUUUCAAAAAAAGGCUCUUCUUUUUGCUGAUCUUAUGUCAUUUUUUAUUUCAAUUUUGUUGAUUUCUUCUCUAAUUUUAAUUAUUUCUUUUCUCCUACUAUUUUGAGUUUGGUUUGCUCUUGUUCUUCUAGAUCCUUGAGGUAAAUUGCUAGUUCAUGUAUUUGAUGCCUUUCCAAUUUCUUAAUGUAGGUACCAAUUGCUAUAAAAUUCCCUCUUAACACUGCUUUUGCUGUAUCCUAUAAUUUUUGAUAUAUUGUAUUGUCUUCUGUAAUUUUUGACUUCUCUUUUGAUUUCUUCAAUGACACACUGUUCAUUCAGGAGCAUGUUGUUCAGUCUCCAUGUGUUUGUGUAUGUUCUAGCGUUUCCCAAGUUGCUGAUUUUCAGCUUCAUUGCAUUGUGGACCAAGAAGAUGCAUGUCUCAAGUAGAGGUGAUUGAGAAGCCCCAAGCAGAAAGAAACAGAUACCAGAGGCCAAUCCUGCUGCCUGGAUACACAGCAACAGGUGCGGUGAAGAUUGGAAGCACAGAAGUUGCCUUAACACCAGCAGAACAGUGUCGAAUAGGACAGGAUGAGAUAGCAUGGGGUGUAAUAUGUUCAAACAUGCCAGAACAGGAGUCAUAUAAGAAUGGUUCAGACUAAAUCGAGCAAAAUAGUUUACCUGGAUCUUCAUCCUGACCUUAAACCUGAACAUUUACUACCUUCAUCUAUUGUGGAAGCCUGGAAAAUUUAGCCUGCAAGAAAGUAAGAGCUACUUCCUUCAAGCAAGCACCUGUGUACCCUCCACAGCUGCAAACCUCACCCGCACCUGCUACUCUUUUCAAAGGCAGAGGAGCAGUUCAGCAGAAGUCCGAUGCCAAACUGCCGCUAAACGGAGGAGCUGAAGUUCGAAAGAGAAGUUUGAGAAGAUCUUCUUUGCAGAGUUCCAAGGAGGGAAACCAGAGGCUUCUUGGGUUGUACGUGGUUACCAAGAAUCUGCUAAUCUAUAACUGGCACUGCUGAGGGUCCUUCCUGCAAGAAGGGGUCCCCUCUUCUGUCCACUGCCUCCCCAACAAAUCUUGGAGAAUCAAAUAGGGCUGUAUACAAUGAUCAUUCCCACCUGGUGUGCAGACCCCUAACUGGCCCAUCAGGAGCCACUGUGAUCUGAAGUGUGCCAGGAUUGGAUACUGAAUUAACUGAAAAGUUGGAAAUGUCAGACAGUUGUACACACAAAAGUGACAACAGACAAAAUGACCAGCCAUCUGUCACCUGUUUCUGCAGAACACAAUCAAGUAUUCUGUUGCAUGGCUUAUCAAUAGCUUUGUGCCAGGCACUGCUGUAAAUUAUUAAAUCAAUGAAGUUCGCUGGAAGUAUGUCUGAGGGAGAAAACUGACCUUGAAAACUUGCCUAAGGUCACAAAGCAACAAGUAGCAUUUUCAAGAGAUGCGUGCAGCUGUGGCCCUGGAGCCCUUAUGAUUCAGCUCUUCAACUACAAGCUGGGAGUGCUACGGUAGCCCUUCCAUGGAAUGUUCUUCAGCCUUUAACAGAAUGUUAAUAGGAUAUUUUGUUGGGUUGUAAAGAGUUUUUAUCUCACAUUUUUGAGUGGUGAGAAAGGUUAAAGAAGCAUCUGAGUACCACUUGAUGGUGCAGAAUCUUAAGAGUGUGACGAUAGCAGUAAAAACAUUGGAAAGGUACACACACUGGGCAGCCUUCUUUCAAUUCAAAUGCACUUUCUCAAUUUUUUUAGCAACAUGCUACAAAGAAAUCCCUACUAAUUUAAGAGCUAUUAUGAUUUUUAAAUUUUUAUUUAUUUAUUUUUAUUUGACAGAUAGAGUUAGUGAGAGAGAGAGACAGAGAGAAAGGGCUUCCUUCCGUUGGUUCACCCCCCAAUGGCCGCUACGGCCAGAGCUAUGCUGAUCCGAAGCCAGGAGCCAGGUGCUUCCUCCUGGUUUCCCAUGCGGGUGCAGGGCCCAAGCACUUGGGCCAUCCUCCACUGCCCUUCCGGGCCACAGCAGAGAGCUGGACUGGAAGAGGAACAGCCAGGACUAGAACCCAGUGCCCAUAUGGGAUGCUGGCGCCACAAGUGGAGGAUUAGCCAAGUGAGCCACAGCACCGGGCCCCAGAGCUAUUAUGAUUAAUAAUACAAUUUUAAUUAGAAAUACUUUUUCUGAGAAUGACUGCUUUCAGGGAAUAAAUGUUUGCAUACAAAAAAUGGAGUAGAGAGUGUUUCAGACUUCUUUUUGACUCUGUCAACAAACAGUUGGUUGUCAGAACGAUUUAACAUUCUGUAAUUCAUUUUUGACUUGUAGAAUCUUGUGCUUUUCUUUGUGAUUCUUAAUGUGCUAUACAUUUAGCACGAACACAGUUACAGUGAUUGUUCCUUGUUACUUUAGUUCUCAUAAGCUUUAGAAAGUUCAUAAAGUUAUAUUUAUACCUUGCAAGGUAGUUAGAACUCCCCAGAAAUGCCGAGGGGCCAGAUGUCUCUUUCAGAAUACCUGAGAAUGGUUUAUCUGCUCAUGCUGUCUCUUUGAGAAUAUGACGUUAACCCUUGCAGCAGUCUGAUUCUCCUAGGGUUGACUUUGUUCUCUCACCUUCCCUCCCUCACUUCCUUGUUCUUCUGCCUUUCUCUUUCUUUUCCUCCCUUCUCUUGCUCCUUUUCUCCCCUAAUAUUUGGAAGUGGAAGCAUUAUCCCAAAGCUCCAUUUAUAAAUUCCCAAAUCAUUUUUUUAAAAACAUUUUUUUAAAUUUGUUUUAAAGGCAGAGUGACACAGAGAGAGUGAGAGACAGAGAAAAAGAGAUCUUUCACGUGCUGGUUCACCCCUCAAAUGAUCACAAUAGCUGGGGCUUCUCUGGGUCAAAACCAGGAGCCAGGAACUCCAUCCAUGUCGCCCACUUGGGUGGCAGGGGCACAGGUACUUUGACCAUCUUCUGCUGCCCUUCCAGGUGCAUUAGCAGGGAACUGGAUUGGAAGUGGAGCAGCUGGGAGUCGAACCAGCAUUCCCAUAUGGGAUGCUGGCACUGUGAGGUGCAGCUUAUACGGCUGUUGCACAAUGCCGGCCUCAAAAUCAUGCAUGUUGUUAAUGAAAUGAGGUGAUUAAGCUACAGGAUGAGCUGUGUCCCAUGCUCUCUUACUCUGAAUUCCCUUAGCUCUGCUUCUGUCUGCCUGUAAAGUUCUACCUUUUCCAAAGCCAUUGAGGAGAUGGAAAUCUGAGUUGUGCUAAUUUGGUCAUCACACACACCCAGGUGCUGAAUUGGGUAUGCCCAGGUGGAAUGUGACAGCUAAUGGAAGAAGCCACUUGUCCCUCUCCUGCCAGUGGAGGCCUUUUGGUAUCCCUUCACCAAAUCGUCUUUUCCUGAGUUGGACUUGGAUCACCUUUUGCUUACCUUGUUAUCCUGUCAUGUCUUGUGACCAUUUACUGAAUUCUGUGACUGACCCCAGGUUCUCUGGCUCACUUGCAAAUAGAAGUUGACAAGAAGCUAAUGUGCAACCUGAGAGGUUUACAGGGGCCUUCUGCUCCAUCACGUUGGGAAGAGGUUCUGAGGCUCGAUCAAUGAAUGAAGCUGUGCAGGCAUUUUUACUGGGUGGGGAGGCGUGGCUGUGACACUUGGGUGCACAACAUUUUGAUCUGCACCCAUCCUGGGCACAAGACACUUAGAUUUGCAGCUGGCUCCUCCUUCCGUGCAGGUGCAUCCUCAAAAUGACUGCUGCUCAGUGCCACCACCCCAGAAAGGCCACAUAUUGGCUGUCCUGGGCUAUUCUGGACAUGUGUGCAGGUUGGAGAACUCCUUAAUGGGUCAGGAGAGGGACUUUUGGGUUAGUGUCUGGUGCUCCUUGCUCAUACUUGGUUUUUGGAGCUGGAGCUGGAGACAUAGGCCAAGAGAUGGACACAUAGCAGGUUGGGAGGCCCUUCACUGAUUGAGUCCUGUUUAGAUCUCAUCUCAAUUCUUCCAUUGGGUGCAAAGUUGAUUAGAGAAGAGAUUUUAUCCUUUAAAAAACUUUUUAAAAAAAAUCAUUGUAGACCUUUGCCAAGUAUCUUUUACACAAUAAAAUGCCCAGGAGAUAUUUGUUGAAAUUGUUAACACCAUAUACAACCAGAAAAUCCAAUUCCAGCACCCCUCAAGCUAUCAGGAGGUUGGGUGGCUUUCCUGCAAUCUAUAACAUUGGCAGAAUACAUUCACAACAGCAACUUGGGACACAAAGAAGCCCAAAGUACAAUGGCUCAGUUCUGGAAGAUACAGGAUGUGGUCCCCUAACACGAAGACUCUUCCCCCCUGUAUUAAGGCAGCUGGCUGGCCCAGAACCUCCCCAUACAGGUGCGCUGGCUGGCUGGCUUUGUGAAGGGCUCAUUUCCAGUCAGUUCUGGCCAAAAU